AUGUACAUUCCUGCAAUAUAGUUUUAAUGCAUCGGAUCCCAUUAGAACUCCGCAGUUAAGCACUCUCAGGCUAGAGUAGUACUGGGAUGGGUGACCACCAGAGAAGUCUUAGUGUUUUACAUG
rnacentral:rRNA from 1 species